CACUAGGAAGGGGUAGGACUGGGAUGCCAAGUGUUAAUCAGACAUAAACACAACAGGGGAAUAACGAAUGCUUAAAAUGAGUCAUAUGUGUUAAAACCUGUCUGGGGACACACCCUGAAAGCCUCACCCUGGCUCAUGCAUGGCUGCCUCUGUGCUUGAAUGAGGCUAAGCUAUUUGCCCCAAGUCCCACAGCCAGCAGGUGAUAAAGCAGGGAUCACACCCAACUUUGUUCAGUUCUACAGCUGGAGCUUCUAGGCCCUACAGAGGGGGAAGCAGGGUCAGUCCCAUGAAGGCAAAUGGCCUUGAGAACACAGAGGCAAGAGGGAAGCAGGCACAUCAGGGACUUCGAGCAGCUCAUCUGCCUUGAACGAAAGUGGGUCUCUAUCACGAUACUCUCUUCUGGAUAAUGCAUUACCGAGCUCCCUUCUCCCAGUCUCAGACUAGACAGGCAACCUUGAUUCCUCCUCCCACGGUCAAGAAAAUGGAGUGGCUCUGAAGAGGCUGUGGGACUCUCAAGUCCCUCGCUGCAGCACCGGCCAGCACAAGCCCGAGCACGCAGGAGGUGGUCAGUGAAAUAAGACCUCUUGGAAACAGGGAGAUCUGAUGGGACAUUCUGGGUAAGGAAACCCAGAAACUAGCAAAGGCGUGGAGGUGGGGAAGAGCCGGGAGGGACUGUGCUUGGAGGAGCAGGAAGAUGGAGGGGAAGGUCUCAGGGAUGGCAGCGUCUGCUCGGGGAUGGGAAGCUCACUACUCAGAAGCAGCAGGUUCGGUGGCUCAACGACUCUGACUGUCCUAGUUCUUUCCCUAGGUGGCCACGCUCUGCACUUCAAGUCAUAAGAAAGCCACGGGGAUCACGCUCCACUGUCAGCGAGGCCUAGACUGGAUGUGGCAUAAUUAUGAAGGAAGACCAGUAAUCUGGGGGGCCUUCAGAACAAAUGCCCACUUUCCCGUCUUCCAGGACACCCUCGCACCUUUGCCCUAUGUGGGGCAAGUGGUCAGGUGGUGGACCAGGGAACAGGUCUGGCUAACUGAUGGAUGUUAGCCACGACCACACGCAGUCACAGAGAGCCAGAGUGGGGGCUGGAGAGGGGGCUACCAGGAAAGGACGAUGCCUUACCCAGGGCUCUGCCAGAGAUCCCUGGCUCUGGGUCUGUUUCUUCCUUGGUGAAAUGGAUACUAUUCUGUAGGUUUCUCUCCCCUGUGGUAAAGAUGAAAGACGGUAAGGCUAAAACCAAUCUUGCCAUUGGAAAAGAAAAUCCAGGGUUGGAGGUAGAACUGGAUGUCUUCCUUCAGAGCUAGGUGUGCCCAUACUUGGGGUGGGGUGGGGGGCUGCCCUGGAUUGCUCCCUCCUCACUGUCAGAUAGGGCAGAACCCAGCUGGCCCUGGGCCCCUGGCAUUCAUCCUGUGAGCCAGGGUCCCAUCAUUGAUCAGCCCCAACUGCCUGAGAACUUCCUGGGGCUGAUAGAGGAGCUCAGACCCCUGGCUCUCAGGCCUGGGCUGGGGAGAGCUAGCCACGGUCCACCACACCCCUGGAUUUCCACCCUGGAGGCUGCACCUUGGCUCACAUCUUUAGGGCUCUGACUUUAACCCCUAGCCCGAGGGGAGAUUCCAACACUGCAAAGCAUGCACCCUAGGCCUGGCCCAUCUCAUCCUGAUAGCAUCCCCAGCAUCUGCUCGACUGGUCUGCACAAUCUCUAGCUCCUGCACUGCUGCGGCUGGACAGCGCCUCCUCUGGCCCCUCAGGCAGGGGCAGUAGGUGCUGCCAGGUUGCCGGUCAGGCCCUCCUGGGCCCCCAUGUGCAGCAGGGGGGUCCCCAAGGAGUGGUGUCCUUACCUCCCUGAUCUGAGCGAGGGGCAGUGGAGCAAGCUGCCGUGAUCUCCGGAACUCAAGCUGCUGUGGGGGACAAAGUGAAGCAGUGACCCAGGGACAGCUCCCAUUCGACGGGAGUGGCUUCUUUGCCCCUCCACUCAGGACUCCCCACCUGGAAAACACUGGAAUCUGGGUUGGGUUGCACUGACCACAAUGCACGUCCAGUGCCUUGGUGCUUACCAACUGCUUUCACAUUCCCCACUUUGUCAAAGCCCCAUAGCCCCCGAUGAGGUAGGCGAAGACUACCAGACCUAUUUUAUAGACGAGGUAGAUAGGCUCAGAGAGGCAAAUGGAUUCGCUCAAGGUCACACUGCUGCUAGAGAGCAGAGCCAGGUAUAACCUGGAAACCACAUGCUCACGGUGGGCAGAGUGGCACAGGCUCUGUGACUUUGGGCCAGUUACUUAACCUCUCUGAACCUCAGUCUUCUCAUGUGAAAAAUAGGGAUAGUAAUAGUUCCUAUCUUGUUGGGUUAUUGUGAAGAUUAAAUGAGAUAAUGCUGUAAAACGACCUCGGCAUAGUAGUCGCAUAGGGACCUACUGAAUGAAUGUGAGCAAUGACUGUGGUUAUUAUCCCAAGAAUACUCAGACGCUGUCCCUGUGUAGGCCACGGCCCAGAUGAAGCCCUGUUGUUACCUCUAGGCUCCCAUCUUGUCUCUGUUGGUGUCAUUCAAGACCUGCUAAGCUGGGCUCAGGGUCCCAGUGUGGAGAAGCAGGGACAGAGUAGGGCCACUGGACUCCUCUCCAGGGUUGCCUGCCUGGUGAAGGGGGCCGGGAGCCUGUCUAGGGCUCUGAUUCACAGCCCCACGGCAGUGGCUGCCUGCUUUCUCAUGUGGACCUCAGGUCUGCUCAGGGCCAAGCAGGGGCUGACUGAGAUUCUGCCCUGAGUCUUUGAUCCCUAGAGGUCAAGGCUGAGCACGGGAGCUGAAAGGAUCAGGAGUGGUCUAGGCUCUCCAAACACAUCUCGGCCCAGUUCAGCCUGGCCCUCCAGGGUCUGUGGAAGCCCAGUUUCCCAGCAUGGAGGCCCGCACAUGGGAAGAGCUUGUUCCUUCUCUGUGUGCUGGGCAACCCUGAGACAGGAGGAGGGUGGGAUUGUAUAUAUCCAGGUAAGUUUGCCUUGGGGAAGCAGAGGCAAAAGUCAGCCUCAGAGUAAAAGGCACGGGGGUGUGAGUGAUCCUGGGCCCAGCUGGAGUGACGCCACCCCCAGGCCCUCGGUCCUGCAGUCUCCUGCGAAUUACACCCACCGUUAGCCCUGGGCUUGGACACUGCUGCUUGAGAGCCUGCCUCCUACUCACGAAUCCCCUUCAGGACAGGGCCCAGGCCGGCGGCCGGACUCCACCACCGUGCUCUGGGGUCUGCAAGACGAGUCCCAGGUAAGACCUUCCCCACCUCACCUACACACUUUUGGACAUCCUCUGCAGGAGCCCUGCCGUGAGAAG